CGGGUGAGUAACACGUGGAUAACCUACCUAUAAGACUGGGAUAACUUCGGGAAACCGGAGCUAAUACCGGAUAAUAUAUUGAACCGCAUGGUUCAAUAGUGAAAGACGGUUUUGCUGUCACUUAUAGAUGGAUCCGCGCUGCAUUAGCUAGUUGGUGAGGUAACGGCUUACCAAGGCAACGAUGCGUAGCCGACCUGAGAGGGUGAUCGGCCACACUGGAACUGAGACACGGUCCAGACUCCUACGGGAGGCAGCAGGU
rnacentral:rRNA from 1 species